UUAGAGACCUGUCUAGGACAACACUGGUAUAUGCAGCAGCAUGCGUUUUCUCAGUUCAGGCACUAUGAAGCAGAGCACUGUAGUUGGCAGUUGCAGGUCAGCUGUUGUAGUGCAUGUCAUUGUAUAUACUUGAGAGAAAAUAUACCGAAAAAAUAAAAAUCGUUGGUGCUAGAGAUCCAAAGAAGGUUGAUGGAGUUCUUUAUUUUCUUAUCUUCCCUUUAAAGCUUGGUUGAACAAUAUGUGCAGUUGCAUAAGCAGCGAAGCUGGUUAUGAUCAAACUAUUGUAGCAAAAUCGUGACUUGGUCUUACGUUUUGUUUCAUUAUUGUUGCUAUUUCACUGCAAAACUGUCUAUAUGCAACUCAAGGUGUCAUUUAUAAUACACAAUUUUGAACCUUUUUAACUUCUUACUGCCUUUUUCUGUGUAUAGCAUAGCAAUGACAUU